GAGUUUGAUCGUGGCUCAGAUUGAACGCUGGCGGCAGGCCUAACACAUGCAAGUCGAGCGGAUGACGGGAGCUUGCUCCUUGAUUCAGCGGCGGACGGGUGAGUAAUGCCUAGGAAUCUGCCCUGGUAGUGGGGGGACAACGUUUUCGAAAGGAACGCUAAUACCGCAUACGUCCUACGGGAGAAAGCAGGGGACCUUCGGGCCUUGCGCUAUCAGAUGAGCCUAGGUCGGAUUAGCUAGUUGGUGGGGUAAUGGCUCACCCAAGGCGACGAUCCGUAACUGGUCUGAGAGGAUGAUCAGUCACACUGGAACUGAGACACGGUCCAGACUCCUACGGGAGGCAGCAGUGGGGAAUUUUUGGACAAUGGGGGCAACCCUGAUCCAGCCAUGCCGCGUGAGUGAAGAAGGCCU
rnacentral:rRNA from 1 species